AUGGUAGAGGCGCGGUUGUCAUUACUAGCCUGCAUCCGCAGGGGAGUCAGAACUCCCGAUGGGGCGAAAGGGGCCACCGCCGAAGUGGAAAAGAGAUUCUGAAGCUUUUCUGCUGGGCCGUCGGAGAAUAUCCUGCGGACUGUCACUGAAUUGUGGAGCGCUAUCA
rnacentral:ncRNA from 1 species